UACGUAGGCAGCAAGCGUUGUUCGGAGUUACUGGGCGUAAAGGGUGCGUAGGCGGCCCUGUAAGUAUGGUGUGAAAUCUCCCCGGCUUAACUGGGAGGGUGCGCUAUAGACUGCGGGGCUCGAGUGUGGGAGAGGAAAGUGGAAUUCCUGGUGGUAGCGGUGAAAUGACGUAGAUAUCAGGAGAAACACCGGUGGUGUAAACGGCUUUCUGGACCAUAACUGACGCUGAGGCACGGAAAGCGUGGGUAGCAAACAGG
rnacentral:rRNA from 1 species